AACAGAACGUCACAGAGGGUGAGAAUCCCGUGCGAUGAGAUGUCCCAGACCUAUGUAAAGUUCCUUCGAAGAGUCGAGUUGUUUGGGAAUGCAGCUCUAAGUGGGUGGUAAAUUCCAUCUAAAGCUAAAUAUUGGCGAGAGACCGAUAGCGAACAAGUACAGUGAUGGAAAGAUGAAAAGAACUUUGAAAAGAGAGUGAAAAAGUACGUGAAAUUGUUGAAAGGGAAGGGCUUGAGAUCAGACUUGGUAUUUUGUAUGUUACUCUCUCGGGGGUGGCCUCUACAGUUUACCGGGCCAGCAUCAGUUUGAGCGGUAGGAUAAGUGCAAAGAAAUGUGGCACUGCUUCGGUAGUGUGUUAUAGUCUUUGUCGAUACUGCCAGCUUAGACUGAGGACUGCGGCUUCGGCCUAGGAUGUUGGCAUAAUGAUCUUAAGUCGCCC
rnacentral:rRNA from 1 species